CAGCUCUUUCAAUUGAGAUUUAAGGUUUUCCCCGAGCUAAGCGGAAAAGUCGAAUACGAGCGCGAAAGGCUAAUAACACAGUACUAAAAUGCGGAAGGCCCUACAAGUAAAGUUAUAUUUAGUACGCUACAUUCUUCUUCAAAACUGUCAGCCGCUAGUUGGUCUAGGAUUAAACCGCGCUUUAAAACGUUCAAAACAAAAUAUUUUUGGGCUCAAAAUACUAUCAAAAUGAAGCGAGGAGUGAGACGAAUCCACUGGUAUACGGCCGAAAAAGAGAAAACCAAUGAUGCCAAAGUUAUCAAGGGUCAAACGUACUGC